ACUUGCUCGACGGUAAAUGAACGGUUCGGAGCCGCUAUAUAUAUUUAGCGUUCGACUUGAAGCAAGCGCGCUAGAUGUGUCACGACGAUCGGACUUUGUGCCGAUAUCGUGCUCUGGUGACUGUUGGCUUUGAUGUUCUCGAACAGACUCCAUAGAAAACCGAUCAACGGCGCUAUAGCUUUGGGUAAUUUCAGGACCCGUCUUGAAACACGGACCAAGGAGUCUAGCAUGUGCGCAAGUCAUUGGGAUUAAUCUAAACCUAAAGGCGCAAUGAAAGUAAAAAUCUUCCUAGCGGAGAUUUAGGGAGGAUGAAUAAUACUAGUGUUUAAUUACAUAAUUGUUCCGCACUCCCGGGGCGUUUCAUUCUCAUUGCGAGAGGAGGCGCACCAAGAGCGUACACGCUGGGACCCGAAAGAUGGUGAACUAUGCCUGGUCAGGAUGAAGUCAGGGGAAACCCUGAUGGAGGUCCGUAGCGAUUCUGACGUGCAAAUCGAUCGUCGGAACUGGGUAUAGGGGCGAAAGACUAAUCGAACCAUCUAGUA
rnacentral:rRNA from 1 species